ACGGGGGGGGCAAGCGUUGUUCGGAAUUACUGGGCGUAAAGGGCUCGUAGGCGGCCAACUAAGUCACACGUGAAAUCCCUCGGCUCAACCGGGGAACUGCGUGUGAGACUGGAUGGCUUGAGUUUGGGAGAGGAAUGCGGAAUUCCAGGUGUAGCGGUGAAAUGCGUAGAUAUCAGGAGGAACACCAACGGCGAAGGCAGCUAGCUGGUACGACACUGACGCUGAGACGCGAAAGCGUGGGGAGCAAACAGGA
rnacentral:rRNA from 1 species